UUUGGAUACUGGAAACUAAGUUCGAAAAUCUUGAAUGGUUUUGAAUCGUAUAUAUAGCAGCACGACCUAUGUUUCCUUGAAAGGAAUUUCGAUAAAAGACGGGAUAUGCAAUCUUCAGAAGAAGGUAUUUGAUGUCCUCUACCGGAUAGCAGACAUCCCUUCUUGGAAGCUUACAAGAUCAAGAUAAUUCUUGAAGAGAUGGAUUUCCAUGGUGUUCUUCAAAUGAUUCCUUCAUGUUUUCAACUAGCGAUUGUAGGAAUUAGCUUGAGGAAAAGCAAUUUUAAAUUAUGCUCUUCUAUUAACAAUGUGAUCAUUUAAUUACUUGUGCAAUUCAUUACUCAUCCAUUGCUCUAACAAUAUCUUAUUCAGUCAUUAAGCUAUAACUGCAUUCUCCUAUGUGUUUGAGAGUGCGGAUGUGUCUCUCUCUUUAGUUUAGGAAAUCAAUCUACCUAGAGGAUCAUGCUGAUAGUUCUUUUAUCCAGAACAUUGGUCUGUUGGGCUCCACUAUGGAUGCACCAUUUCAUAAUAUCU